UGAGCACCCUAUAGACAACUAAGAAAGACUCCUACUGCACAUGUGCGUAUUCUACUACCAAAGAUGAUGCAUAACAUAGAGAAAAAGCAUGUAUCACGCAGUUUGAACUCCACAAUCUUGGGUGAAAAAGAAAGAAAGAAGAGAAAGAAGCUUGAUUCUGAAGACUGCUGUUUUUUCUUGUAUUUUUUCAGUCAAAGAACUGAGGUAAGGAGAAAACUGAAGAGGUAUAAGCCUUUUCAGUAUUUUUUUGUGCAUAUCUCAAAUGUUUGUCUUUUUCUGUAAAAGAUUUGCUAAUGCAA
rnacentral:lncRNA from 1 species